UAACUCUGAAAACCGAAGCAUCAAAAGGUUGGAGCACUGGGAAGAGCAAUAGAGGACUGAAUUUUGAUGUGCAGAAAACCUUAAAAGACACUCAUUUUGGCAGAAAGUUCCAGAUUUCUGCUGUCCACGGAAGUCAGUCUGUCCUUGGCCUUCGUUACUUCUUUCUAGAAUCACCACACCCGACA